GGCCACCACUCACGCAGGUUGGUCUCCACGGUGUCGGUGGAGAACUCGCAGCGUGGACCGGCGUAGGACGGGCUGCAGAGACAACCGGUGCCAGCAAAAGUCCCCCCGUUCUCACACAGCCCUGGUGGGACACGGGGACAUCAGCCGGGUCACGGGGACACCCCAGCUGAGCGUGGAGGUCAUCUGGGGAGGACUCACCUAAAGGAGGAGCAGUGGUGGUCCAAAGGGUGGUUGGGGUGGUCCCUGGAGUGGUGGACAUUGCUGUGGAGGUCCUCUGGGUGCUCGAGGAGGUCACUGAGGUGGUUGUGGUGGUCCCUGGAGUGGCCGUGGUGAUACCUGGGAUUGUGAUGGGGGUCCCAGAGUUGGUCGUGGAGGUCCCUGAGAUGGUUGUGGAGGUCCCUGGGGUGGAGGACGUGGUCCCUGGAGUGGCCAUGGUGGUCCCUGGAGUAGUUGUGUUGGUCCCUGGGGUGGUUGUGGUGGUCCCUGAGAUGGUCGUGGUGGUCCCAGAGUUGGUCGUGGUGGUUACUGGGAUGGUUGUGGUUGUCCCUGGGGUGGUUGUGGUGGUACCUGGGGCUGUGGUGGUGGUCCCAGAGUUGGUCGUUGUAGUCCCUGGGGUGGUCGUGGUGGUACCCGGGAGGGCUGUGGUGGUACCUAAGUUUGUUGUGGCGGUCCCAGAGGUGGAGGACGUGGUCCUUGGGGUGGUCGUGGUGGCACCCAGGGUGGUCGUAGUGGUCCCUGAGAUGAUUGUGGUGGUCCAUGGGGUGGUCGUGGUGGUCUCUGUAAGGGUCGUGAUGAUCCCUGGGAUAGUCGUGGUGGUCCCUGGGAUGGUUGUGGUGGUCCAUGGGGUGGAGGAGGUGGUCCCUGAUGAGGUCGUGGAGGUCCCUGUAAUGGUUGUGGUGGUACCUGCAGUGGACGUGGUUGUCCCAGAGUUGGUUGUGGUGGUCCCUGAGGAGGUCAUGGAGGUCCCUGGGAUGGUCGUGGUGGUCCCUGGGGUGGUUGCGGUGGUCCAGGGGCUGGAAGAGGUGGUUGCUGCGGUGGUUUUGGUGGUCACUGGGGUGGUCGUGGUGAUACCAGGGACGGUCGUGGUGGUCACAGAGUUGGUUGUGCUGGACCCUGAGGUGGUUGUGGUGGUACUUGGGAUGGUUGUAGAUGUUCCUGGGGUGCUUGUGGUGGACCCUGAGGUUGUUUGGAUGGUCUCAGAGGUGGCUGGGGUGGUCGCAGAGGUGGAGGUGGUCCCCGAGGAGGUUGUGAUGGUCCCUGGUGUGGUCGUGGUGGUCCCUGAUGUGGAGGUGGUGGUCCCAGGGCUGGUUGUGGUGGACCCUGAGGUGGUCGUGGUGGACCCUGAGGUUGUUAGGGUGGUCGCAGAGGUGGUUGGGAUGGUCCCUGAGAUGGUUGUUUGGGUCCCUGGGGUGCUGGUGGUGGUCCCUGAGGAGCUCAUGGUGGUCUCUGAGGUGGAAGAGGUGGUACUUGAGGUGGUUGGGUUGGUCCCAGAGGUGCUCAUGGUGGACCCUGGGGUGGUUGUGGA
rnacentral:lncRNA from 1 species